GAAGGUGUCCUCAAUGGAAGAGUUGUGACUCUUCGACCUACCUGCACAUCCCACAGACAUGCCUUCACCGAGGUUUCAUUGAAACAGGAUUUCGGUGAGGUUUCGGGCCCAAAGACGCAGCCGACAGACGCAGGCGGACGGGACGGCGACCUGCUUUUGGACACGAGGCGCAGCAGCUUCUGCACACAGGUGACAUCGUCGGUUCUCUGCUCUGUAAAGACUGGACUUGGAAGGAUCGGGGAGGUUUCGGGCCGACGGCCGACAGACUUCUGGGAAAGGCGGACGGGACGCCGACCUGCAUUUGGACACGUGUGAGUAGUGCGAUGUUGUGUGCUUAUGGCAAGCCUUCUUAACAUUGAAGAGCUGGGCUGGAUAUGUGUUGAAGACCUCGCUCAUUCAGUUUUGCCUCAUCAAAACUAAAUUCCAGAUAUCUGCGACGUCAUU